UUCUUUGCAGUGGGCUUGUGGCAAAGCCUUCGGCCCUCCUCCAAUACAUCAGUUCUACCUGGUGAAAACUCCCUCUCUCCUGCCACAGCCGGCCAAUUGCAUCUCUCUCCAAGACAGGGGCAUAAGCGACCUUCUCCCCCAACAUGGUUCCUGUCUUCUAGUCCUGGCUGUCAUAUCUGCGGCUCCUCAGCAGCUGAGAGGAUUUGAAGGCCUAAUUUACAUUAUCCAGUAGUCUACUCCAGCACAAUUGGAUGGGAUCCAGUUUGAUUGGAAACAGAAAGGAUGGUACAGUUUAGCCAACGACAGAGAGAGGCCUGAGAGGUGUCCUGAGUCCUGCUGUCUUCUGACAAGAUGCAAGUGGACAAGAUUGAGAAGUGAUUCCAAGAUUUCUAUUCAUAGAACUCCUCAGAAUUAAGAUAAUUGAAAAUACCAAAGGAACUGAGUUUAAAUUAGAAAAAAAAAGUCCAAAGACAUUCACCAAAGUAACAAACUGUGGCUCUGGACCCAUUGGACUCAUUUCCCAGCUCCUUUGACUUCUGCAACUUUGAUAUAUCUGUUGGCCUAUGCGCCCUUCUGGUCUUCAAACGUGCGUUGUUCUUCUUUGGAAUCAAAACAUAGAAGGGAAGUACAAGGCAUUUAAGUGAGACUGAAAGUCAGCAUCAGGUAGGGCCUAAGCAUCUCUUUUAUUCUUUAGUCUGUCUUUGUCGAGAGUUCCCUGAGAAUUUCAGCAGGACUCAAUGGUCAUCGAUUUGAACUGGGUUUAGUUGUUUUUGUUUGUUUGUUUGUUUUAGAGUUGGAUAAUCAAUCAUAGUGGGGACAAGUCCUGGCAUCAGUGAAAUGGGAGAGAAAUAUUUCAAGUAGAUGACUGACAGGAAGAAAAAUAAAGAGAACUCACUAAAGGGGAGACCA
rnacentral:lncRNA from 1 species